AGGUGAUUGAGGUCCUGGCCGGGGCGCUCGCUGGAGUCUAAACUACGCACAAAGUGGCUAAGGACGAAAGUGGAGCACCGGUUCCUGCAGUGAGUGCCAGCACAGGAGGCGGAGGAGGAGGAGGAGGCGGAGGAGGAGGAGGAGGAGGAGGAGGAGGAGGACUGAUGGGAGAAAUGAGUGCAAUUCUCGCUCGACGGAAAAAAGCUUCGGAUGCUCCAGUGGUCAAGAAGGAAGAAACAAGCAGCGCUGAUUCUGACUCCAGAGCUGGGUGAGAGUCAAAU